CUCCAGCAAAUGUGAAGGCUGCAGAGUGUGGCCUUGGCCGGGGAGCGCAGGGGCUGGUUCUAAUCUUUAGCCUGUUCCAUUUUGGGUUCAUUACGGUGAAAUUCAUCACUUCAGCCAGGUAAAUGUGUGCAGGAGCGAUUCAUCAGGCUGAGGACCUGUAUUUAUGUUUCAAUCAACUGGAAAUGAGAUGGAGGAACCCCGCUUGCCUGAGGGCAAGAGAAAGGAGCUGAAGAUAUGGUAGGUCAGGUGGAAGACACGGCUUAGCCGGGACACAGAGAGACUGAGGCAAGGGUAGAGAACAAAGUCCUCUGGCACAUCAGAGCGAGAAGAGCUGCGAGGGAAUUUGUGCUUCCAUGAGAAACCCGCAGGCGGUGAAAGAAACGAAGAAGGAGGGAAGGACACUGCAGAGGAGACAGAGGAUUCCUCCGCACCAGAGGGGCCGUUGGUGCAGCGGUGACGCCAGGGAGUGCUGCCCAGGGCUCCCGGAAUCCGUGGCAGUGCUUCAGAGAGCACCCGGGACGGCCACCCUCCUCCACGACUGCAGGAGGGCAAAGCAGCUCCACCGCUAGACUAAAUAGGUUGGGCUGGGAAGCGGCCAAGGCAAAAAGUUUUCUCCUAAAAAUGCCGAUUCAUCAACUUUCUCGUGAAUAGAUCAGCACUGUUUUCCUUUUUCACUGCAAAAAUAAAAAGGAAAACCUCUCCAAAUUACUGAACGUGGAGUCCUUUUCUGCUUCAAAAAUCCUGAAAUUAAAGUUAAUGAUAGGAAAACAUA